rnacentral:rRNA from 1 species
GACGAACGCUGGCGGCGUGCUUAACACAUGCAAGUCGAACGGUAAGGCCCUUCGGGGUACACGAGUGGCGAACGGGUGAGUAACACGUGGGUGAUCUGCCCUGCACUUCGGGAUAAGCCUGGGAAACUGGGUCUAAUACCGGAUAGGACCACUGCCUGGCUGGGGGGUGGUGGAAAGCUUUUGCGGUGUGGGAUGGGCCCGCGGCCUAUUAGCUUGUCGGUGGGGUGAUGGCCUACCAAGGCGACGACGGGUAGCCGGCCUGAGAGGGUGACCGGCCACACUGGGACUGAGAUACGGCCCAGACUCCUACGGGAGGCAGCAGUGGGGAAUAUUGCACAAUGGGCGCAAGCCUGAUGCAGCGACGCCGCGUGAGGGAUGACGGCCUUCGGGUUGUAAACCUCUUUCAGCACCGACGAAGCGCAAGUGACGGUAGGUGCAGAAGAAGGACCGGCCAACUACGUGCCAGCCGCCGCAGUAA